rfam:Geobacillus sp. Y4.1MC1, complete genome.
CCUAGUGACAAUAGCGGAGAGGAAACACCCGUUCCCAUUCCGAACACGGAAGUUAAGCUCUCCAGCGCCGAUGGUAGUUGGGGCCAGCGCCCCUGCGAGAGUAGGUCGUCGCUAGGC